GUUAUUACGCCAUGAUGGCAGCAGGGCCACUUCCUGUUGCCAUCAUGGCGUAAUGGCGAGGCACAAUAA
rnacentral:miRNA from 1 species